AAGUCGUAACAAGGUUUCCGUAGGUGAACCUGCGGAAGGAUCAUUAACACGUGAAAACGUAUUAUUAACCAAACUCUGUGAACUUACACGACCAUAUCUAAUAAACAAUUUAAGAAAUCGAUAUAAGUUUUGGUGGGAUCUUUCGGGAUCGCUUAUAUCUACGAGUCUUCAAGAUUCAGGUUUUGGUUUGUUAGUAUGGCAAUCAUUCUUUCUACCAAAAAGAAUACCUUUUAUAAACCAAUUUAACCUUUUUUAUAUUUUCAUUAACUUGAAAAACUGAACUAUUUUGUUUAUAAAUGA
rnacentral:misc_RNA from 1 species